UGGCAGAGGAGGGCUGCUCAUCCCCUGGUGAGUAUCACUUCCCCAGGAUCCAGUCACCUCUC
rnacentral:miRNA from 1 species